rnacentral:tRNA from 1 species
UCGUAGUGUAGCGGUUAACACGCCUGCCUGUCACGCAGGAGAUCGCGGGUUCGAUUCCCGUCGAGACCGUACA